AUGAGCAGCAGCAAGGGAUUCUCAUUGUUCUACUCUAAUUAUAAAGACUGCUCCACCCCACUUAGUCUCAACUUAGAUCUAUCCAUUGCUCUUUGAGGCAACUAAAAUCAAGAUGUUAAGCUAACACAUUUGAAAAUUUAUCCCC